GAUGAACGCUAGCGGCAGGCUUAACACAUGCAAGUCGAGGGGCAGCAUGAGACGGAGAUUCGUCAAAGUCUUGAUGGCGACCGGCGCAAGGGUGCGUAACGCGUGAGCAACUUGCCCGUUUCUGGGGGAAUAACCGGUGGAAACGCCGACUAAUACCCCAUAGUAUAGACGAAAGGCAUCUUUUGUUAUUAAAGAAAUUUCGGAAACGGAUAGGCUCGCGUGACAUUAGCUAGAUGGCGGGGUAACGGCCCACCAUGGCGACGAUGUCUAGGGGUUCUGAGAGGAAGGUCCCCCACACUGGAACUGAGACACGGUCCAGACUCCUACGGGAGGCAGCAGUGAGGAAUAUUGGUCAAUGGGCGGGAGCCUGAACCAGCCAAGUAGCGUGAAGGAUGACUGCCCUACGGGUUGUAAACUUCUUUUGUUUGGGAAUAAAAGACGCUACGUGUAGCGUUGUGCAUGUACCUUACGAUAAGCAUCGGCUAAUUCCGUG
rnacentral:rRNA from 1 species